rnacentral:rRNA from 1 species
AGUCAAUGAUCAAAAGAUUGANCCAGUUAUCUAUAAUAAUGAAAAAAAUUAAAUUAAUUAAUAAAUAAAUAAAAAAAUAAAUUAAUAAAAAAUUUUUAAUUGGUAAAAAAUAAAGUUAUAGGAUAGUGAAAAUAAUGAUAGUAGCUAAAAUCUGAUAGUUACAACUAAAAUAUGUGCCAGCAGUUGCGGUUAGACAUAGGUAGCAAGUAUUAGUCAUAUUGGUUUAAAGGAUCCGUAGAAUAUAUAUAUAAAGAUAUAUAGAGUUAAUAAAAGUAAUAAAUGAAUUAUAAAAGUAAUGAUGAAAUAUAAUAAUAUUUAUAGGACAGACAAGUUCGAAAGUUUUUAUUAUUUAUUAACUGACAUUGAGGGAUGAAGGCUAAAAUAAUGACAUGGAUUCGAUACCCAAUUAAUUUUAGCAGUAAACUAUGAAUACCAUUUAUUAAAAAAAAAUAAUAAAUAAGAGAAAUCAAUAGUAUUCCACCAGGAGAGUAUAAUUACUAAAUUAAAACCCAAUACAAUAGACGGUUAUAAUCAAUAGCAGUGGAGUAUGUUAU